CCUACGGGGGGCAGCAGUAGGGAAUCUUCGGCAAUGGGGGGAACCCUGACCGAGCAACGCCGCGUGAAGGAAGAAGGAAUUCGUUCUGUAAACUUCUGUUAUAAAGGAAGAAAGACGGAUGGAGGAAAUGACAUCCGAGUGACGGUACUUUAUGAGAAAGCCACGGCAAAUUCCGGGCCCGCCGCCGCGGUAAUAGGUAGGAGGCAAGCGUUAUUCGGAAUUAUUGGGCGAAAGGAUGGAGCAGGCGGCAGCAAAGGUGUGUGGUGAAAGACUGAAGCUUAACUUCAGUAAGCCAUAGAAACCGGGCAGCUAGAGUGCAGGAGAGGAUCGUGGAAUUCGAUGUGUAGCGGUGAAAUGCGUAGAUAUAUGGAGGAACACCGGUGGCGAAGGCGACGAUCUGGCCUGCAACUGACGCUCAGUCCCGAAAGCGUGGGGAGCAAAUAGGAUUAGAUACCCCAGUAGUC
rnacentral:rRNA from 1 species